UCUACGGGGGGCAGCAGUGAGGAAUAUUGGUCAAUGGGCGCGAGCCUGAACCAGCCAAGUAGCGUGAAGGAUGACUGCCCUACGGGUUGUAAACUUCUUUUAUAAAGGAAUAAAGUGAGGCACGUGUGCCUUUUUGUAUGUACUUUAUGAAUAAGGAUCGGCUAACUCCGUGCCAGCAGCCGCGGUAAUACGGAGGAUCCGAGCGUUAUCCGGAUUUAUUGGGUUUAAAGGGAGCGUAGAUGGGUUGUUAAGUCAGUUGUGAAAGUUUGCGGCUCAACCGUAAAAUUGCAAUUGAUACUGGCAGCCUUGAGUACAGUUGAGGUGGGCGGAAUUCGUGGUGUAGCGGUGAAAUGCAUAGAUAUCACGAAGAACCCCGAUUGCGAAGGCAGCAUACCGGCUCCACACUGACGCUGAGGCACGAAAGCGUGGGUAUCGAACAGGAUUAGAUACUCCUGUAGUC
rnacentral:rRNA from 1 species